CGGCCACCACCGCCCCUCCCGGCUCCCCUUCGCAGCGCGCGCAGGUGGCCGCCGCCGCCCCUCUCACCACUGCCCGCGCAGGUGGCCGCCACAGCCCCUCCCACACGGCGCCCGCGCAGUGACACCGACGGCGAGGUGCCGAGACCUACAGGCGGCAGCGGCCGCCCUCCACUCUAAGGACGGCAGCAGCCCGCAAGGCACAGCCUCCUGCAGGUUGCCGCGGGCAGCGGCAGGCCGGACCUUCCUCCUCCCCAUGCGAAUCGACGGCGACGCCUCCUCCUCACGUGGACCCGCGACGACUCCUCAAGAGCCAGGACUUGCGGUGCCUCUUCCCGAGGAGCAGGCGGCGGAGCCUGACCCGGAGGCAAACGUGGCUGGCGCCUCCCGGCUCCCUGAGGAACGGUGAUUUAUUCAUGUUCAUCUUUGUACAAGCUAUGCCAAUGGUCUCUAAAGUGACUUGGAGAUAUUCGUUGAAUCAAAUGCAGCUGUGUUUCAAUUGGUUGACAGCUCUGUCCAAGAAGUUGGCUUCAAUUGAUGAGAAGAUGGCAUGCGAUCCAACAUAUUUACAGAAGACUGGAUGGGAUCGUGGAAGAUGACUAGGGUGCAGCAAGGAGUGCGGUUCUUCAGACUUUCACUCUCAACAAUUGGGAAGUCAGCAAGUUAGUUUUCCAUUUGUUUGUUCCAAUUAAAUUGUCUCUAGCCUGUUACAUCAAUAUUUGAGCAAACAAUUAGAAAGCUUUAACCCUAGGCCUGAUUGUUAGAUGCAUUCUUUUAGUAACAUUCUAAAGUGUUGAAUCCUAUUCCAUGACAUGUUGCUGAUCAGUUUAAGUUGUUUCUAUGCAUAGGGAAUUGAGGAAGGUCUGGAACUGGAUGAAUAAACCGCUGCUCCUGAUAAUCAGCGAACUGGAAGAUGCUCCACUGUUAGAUGAGAACAAAGGAUAGGUCCUAUUUGUGAUUUAUGUUCUUAUACUGCAUAGGUAAUUAAGGUAGUAAAUAUAUGUGGCUGAGUGCAGCAUCACUUGUGUACAUGUCAUGGAAGUUACAUUUUCUAGCACAAAUGAUUUAUGGUUGUGUGGAUUGAUAAGUUACAUCUCAUGUAAGUUACACUUGCUAGCUGAAUAGCAGAAAAAAAAAAUAUUAUGCCCAUCUA